GGCAGCUCUAGCGGUUGGACUGAUCACGUGCCGCUGCCAUCGGCCAUCAGGCCGCAGUCGGCCCGGACCCAGAGCGCACGCACGACCUUGCCUCCGCAGGAGCAGCGGCGGCCGUUGCUCCUUCCUGUCUCAACAUCUCCACUCCCUUUGAGAGCUGCUCUCCACAGCCCAGGCCCAUGCAGGAGACUAUUCCGGUUGGUUCCUUCUGUGUGGCCCGGGACCGUGGUUCCCCUGCACCCAGACCCGGGUCCCGGCGCCUUGCUCCAGCAGCGCUCCUGGACUGUGUGAGGUGAGGCGGGCAAGCCCUGGCCACGUGGAGCUCACAUUCGUGGGGAGACCGCACGGUCGGCGCCCAGAGCUCCAAGUACAGGAGACACUGUCACCCAACAAGACGUUUGCACUUCCAGCUCCUCCCCUAUCUCUGCUUCUGAGAGCAGCCACCAGACAAGGGGUCUCCUGGUUUUCAGGAGGCCGAGUCACCUGGGACAAUCCAAGGGGACUUCAUGGAAGCCACUCCUGAGGCCGCAUGCGAAACUGGAACGCAGACAGGACGCGGCACUCGAAUAAGCCAAAUCCAGCUGCCCUAUACAGCAGGGCCUGCGGAGCCACCAAGCAAAGUAGGACUGGCUUCCCCGUGAAUCCUACUAAGUCAAGAACAGAGUAAAACUUCCUAGUCGCUUAUCAGAUCUCAGCUCCUUACUUGGUGAUGCACACAGUGGGUUUGACCCAAAAAAAAUAAAAGUCAGUGGAUAAAUAGAGACA
rnacentral:lncRNA from 1 species